rnacentral:lncRNA from 1 species
GCUCAAUUCUCUUCUGCUGGGAUCCACCAGAUGUGCACUUAGUUCCUGGAGCAUCCAUUCAUCCAAGAGCUAUGUACUUCAAUGUUCCUUACAACAAGGUGGGGAGGCCACAUGCCUUAUUCCCAUCAACUGAGCAUGAGUAGAAAUGCUGUAUGCUUCUUUGAUGCAGAGUUUGUGAGAAGCAGGCAUGGAUCCUCCACCCACUGCAGCUCUGAGACCCGGUGUGAGCCUAUGAUUGGGGGCCAGAAAUGUCAUUGGCCUGUCAUGCAGAUGAAUGAUGCCCCUGGAGCAGUACAGAAAGCAAGUGCAGGACCAUACCCAGGGGUUCUCCUUCUGUGUUCCAACCUGCAUCACCUCUCACCAGGAUCCAAGAGCAAGCACCCAACACUUCCUGCUAUUUCAUCUCUGUUCCCAAAAGACCUCCAUUCUUCACCUAACAACCACCAAGGGUGAUGUUUUUGAAAAUCUGCACCUUAAGUAAUGUUGUCAUACAAUUGAAAUUCCCUCAAUAGUUUCCCAGCUCUCUUCACAUAAAAUCCAC